rnacentral:rRNA from 1 species
UACGGAGGGUGCAAGCGUUAUCCGGAAUCACUGGGUUUAAAGGGUGCGUAGGCGGUUCGAUAAGUCAGUUGUGAAAUACCCCGGCUCAACCGGUGGGACUGCGAUUGAUACUGUUGGACUUGAAUAAGGUUGAGGUAGGCGGAAUGUGGCAUGUAGCGGUGAAAUGCAUAGAUAUGCCAUAGAACACCGAUUGCGAAGGCAGCUUGCUGGACCUUAAUUGACGCUGAGGCACGAAAGCGUGGGGAGCAAACAGG